rnacentral:rRNA from 1 species
CCUACGGGAAGCAGCAGUGAGGAAUAUUGGUCAAUGGGCGUAAGCCUGAACCAGCCAAGUCGCGUGAGGGAUGAAGGUUCUAUGGAUCGUAAACCUCUUUUAUAAGGGAAUCAAGUGCGGGACGUGUCCCGUUUUGUAUGUACCUUAUGAAUAAGGAUCGGCUAACUCCGUGCCAGCAGCCGCGGUAAUACGGAGGAUCCGAGCUUUAUCCGGAUUUAUUGGGUUUAAAGGGUGCGUAGGCGGCCUUUUAAGUCAGCGGUGAAAGUCUGUGGCUCAACCAUAGAAUUGCCGUUGAAACUGGGAGUCUUGAUUAUGUUUGAGGCAGGCGGAAUGCGUGGUGGAGCGGUGAAAUGCUUAGAUAUCACGCAGAACCCCGAUUGCGAAGGCAGCCUGCCAAGCCAUGACUGACGCUGAUGCACGAAAGCGUGGGGAUCAAACAGGAUUAGAUACCCGAGUAGUC